GGAAGGUUCCAAGUCAACCUUAAAAAAAAAAAAAGGCAUUGGAAUCUUCGCAAUCAACCUAAAAAACAACGAAAUUUUGUAGAGAAAGACAGAAAGACGCAAAGCAAAGAUCUUACCUCUCUAACCCUUUUUUGAAACGUCAUGUCGGGGUAGCACCGCACGUAGCCGUCUCACAGAGGAACGAAAAGCCUGGCGCAAAAAUCCCCCCAUGGUCUUGAAUUUGAUGAUUUGGCACUGUGUUAUCCCCGGCAAAAAGGGGGGGGGGUCAGUCUCUACUUAAACUACAAAACAUAUCUUUUUUUUUUUUUUAUCAAGUUUGGACCUUUGAAGUUUUGGGUUACUGAAUUGUAGGUCUUUAUUUUACUUUUUCUUUGUUGGGUUUUGUUUUCUUAUGUUGUUUAUUUGUAAGUAUGCGAGUUGUAUAUACUGGAAUUUCUGUGCUACAAUAAGUUAUUAGAAUGUUCAGAUUUCGGAUCGAAGUUGUAAAUCUGUAUAAUCAGUUUCUGCCUUGUUUUCCCUUAAUUCUAAACAAAUUUUUACCCUUUUUCUACUUUGCUCGGUAGAACAGACAAUGGCGGGGGGCGGUCAGUCUCUACUUAAACUACAAAACAUAUCUUUUUUUUUUUAUCAAGUUUGGACCUUUGAAGUUUUGGGUUACUGAAUUGUAGGUCUUUAUUUUACUUUUUCUUUGUUGGGUUUUGUUUUCUUAUGUUGUUUAUUUGUAAGUAUGCGAGUUGUAUAUACUGGAAUUUCUGUGCUACAAUAAGUUAUUAGAAUGUUCAGAUUUCGGAUCGAAGUUGUAAAUCUGUAUAAUCAGUUUCUGCCUUGUUUUCCCUUAAUUCUAAACAAAUUUUUACCCUUUUUCUACUUUGCUCGGUAGAACAGACAAUGGCGUAGCUUGAGUUAGUAUCAUAUAUGUUUUGCAUUGGAAGGCUAGCAAAGGCAUUUAGUAGACAGUGGGGAACAACUUGAUUCUUCUAAAUCAACAACUUACUUUCAUUCAAUGAGAAUUUACAUAGUCGCCUGGAAGAAGUUAAAUAUGGUUUUUUCUUUAGUUCUUUAUAAUUUAGUAUCAAGUCCAGAUCUAUAAUCCAUAUGUCUAUUUCUUGAAACUAGGUUAUUAAGGAGGCAUGGUAGACCUUGGAGCUCGGUCAGGGUUCUUUGAAAAUAUGUUUGGAAACAAAACCGCUUAUCAAAUUGAUUUUGAGAAUUGUUUCUAGUAUUAUCAGUUGACAACUAUUGUGCAGCAUAGAUGAAGUGGUCUUUUCUCCAUUAAGUGCUUAGUUCAUUCAUUUUCUUUACCUGUAAUUUUCUUUCUUACUUUUCGAGGAAUACCCUAGCAAACCCCCUAUAUGCAAGUUUCCACAUGGCUUAUUCCAUUCUAAUGUCUAUCCUUCUGGAACUGUGUGUCUGUCU